AGCCCACAUAAGUUAGAGGGGACAACCUCAGAACCCUGAUUUAGGAUUUGGACACAAAGAACGCCCAUAGAUCCCAACUUUUCCGGGUUGGAGGUUUGCUCUCCACAGCAGGCAGGGCCUAUGUUGGCAACUGUGCUUCCAGAACGGUCCCCCAUUCCAAAACUUGACUCGCUGCAUCUGACCUAUGAUAAGCCUACGUUUGGCAUCAAGAUCAUCUGUGGAAAGAGAUCCCUGGGUUUCUAAGAGCUUAAACUGAAAACACACCUAGGAGGAACCCAUUUCUGGAGCUGCUUUUGGGGCUGUUUCCCCUGAGGGGUGAAAGGUUAACUCUGCAACUUUUGAGGCUGGGGACCUAGCUGUCAGUGAGUUAGUUGCAAGUAUAACACCAGGAACAUAGAUUAAGAACCAAGGAUGGCAAUAUAAAGAAAUGAAGUGCUGACACGUGCUACAACAUGGAUGAGCUAUAACACACUAUGCUACAUGACAGGAGCCAGUCACAAAAGGCCACAUGGUGACUGGUUCCAUUUCUAUAAAUGUCCACAACAGCCAAUCCAUAGGGACAGAAAGUAGAUUAGGGACUGCCUAAAGCUUGAGGGGGCAGAGUGGAGGGAGGCAGAGAUUGGAGGAUAACAGCAAAGGGGUAUGGAGUAUCAUCUUGGGGUAAUAAAAACGUGGGAAAAUUGUUAGUGAUGGACACACAACUCUGAAUAGACUACAGGCCACCCAAUUGUCUACUUAAAUGGGUGACUUAUGCAGUAUGUGAAUUGUAUCUCAAUAAAGCUGUCAAAGAAUCAAGAGGUACUCAAUACCAUUUAUUGUGGAACAGUUACUUAAUGUUAGUUUCUAAGGGCUGUUACAUCAGGGUAAGAGCAGAAUGGCCUUGGUCAGCUCUGUCCGCAUCCCUCCACAGAACUCUGGUGAGUAACUUGCCUGAAUUUUACACUUUUGGCCAAAAUAGAAAUGAGUAUUUUUUAAAAGUCACUUUGUGCUGGAAUAUCUAAUCCAAAUUUCUUAGAAACAAGCAAACUAGAUUGGUCUCAGAAAUCAAGAGUCCUUGCAGUGUUAUUCCAGCACCCAAGCUCCAGCUGGAGGGACUGGUAAGUACUAGGAACCUGUUAUGGGACAGGAUGGCCCAUGCCCAGUGCAAUGGAGCUCUGCAGCCCUCCUGGGACUACACUUCCCCAGCACUUCCUGGAAGGAAGACCUGGAAGAAGAGGAAGACCAGAGCACUUCCUUGCCCGUCCCACACUGCACAGGCAGGCUGGUUUUCCCUUGGAUUAACAUAGGAGUUAUUUCAUGCUACUUAAGCAAACAGCCAGGGACUCUGAGUGCUUGCUCUGUGCCAGCAUGUUUGGUAGUUCAGGAGGAGCAGAGUUUAAAUUUAAUAAGUGGUUAAAUUUGAGAAACAAUCUCGGCUAAUAUGCAGGCUAUGUAUCCCUUAGGAAAUAGUGAACAAGAUAACAGCAAAGAAGCUGGGCAGGACAGAGGCAAAGAUGAGACUGUUUCAGGAAGAAUUUGACACAAGGACACAGGCUGAUUAACCUAAGGGAGAGGUAGACCAGGUAUGGGAACGCAGUAUUUGAGUGCCUAUCUUCUCACGUAAGAAAAUAUAGUAACUACUUUCCCCAAGUUUUGAUUCCUUAGCCAUUUUACUUUAUAGAAUACAUUAGCUACUUCUGCUUAAAUGAAGCACGGGUUUUGUUUUGUUUGUUUGUUUUUUUUUUUUUUUUUUGAAGGAGAUGCCAGAGAAUGCACCAAUUUUACUGUAUUUUUGAAUGUGAUGCUAAAACACAGAGCUGGUGUUGGCUGAAGGGUCUUGAUUGGAUCCCCCGUUGCUCCCAUUAAGUGAAAUCUCAACCAGUGGAGGAGAAAAUUGGAACAGGAGGAUUGCAUGAUGGUCCCAAGAAAACUCCACCAGAUUUUUAUUCAUAAUCAUCCACCAACUGCAACACACCAAGUAGGAAAAAAAAAAACUUACUCAUCUGACAGCCUAAGGAGUUAUAUUUUCCCUUUAGAGAGAAUAGCAUGUUUCUAGGAUGAAACACGAAGUGGUUUAUUAAUAUGCCUAAUUGAUGAUGAUGCAGCACGGGCAGCCCUGGAGACUAAGGCGAGGUGCCAACACUGAGAGCAUGGCCCCAGAUUUGCCCGACGGCGAUCAUGCCUACCAGGCCUAUGGGGGGGUUGAUGGGGAACCCCAGCGCUGAAGACACAAUGACCUUACAUUGAAGGGGCUCCAAUUAUUAAACCCAAGUUAGUAUUUAUGCACCAAACUGAGAAAGAGCUACUUUAAUUGACCUAUUACAGACAUCAUGCUGUUGUAUUUUUUGAUCCAAAUUCAAAACUGCAAAAAUGUGACAUUUCUUUAAGGACCAGCUUUACUCCAUACUGUCUUCAGGAACCUGGUGAUGGAGGUUCAUCUCCCACUUCAUCUCUGAGGUCUUUAGACAAACAUUUGCUACUUUUGUAAUCUAUACCUGGCCUUGGGCAACUCAGGGUAGGCAGGUAU
rnacentral:lncRNA from 10 species